rnacentral:rRNA from 1 species
GACGAACGCUGGCGGCGUGCUUAACACAUGCAAGUCGAACGGUAAGGCUCCAGCUUGCUGGGGUACACGAGUGGCGAACGGGUGAGUAACACGUGGGUGACCUGCCCUGCACUUCGGGAUAAGCCUGGGAAACUGGGUCUAAUACCGGAUAGGACCGCACCGUGAGGGUGUGGUGGAAAGUUUUUUCGGUGUGGGAUGGGCCCGCGGCCUAUCAGCUUGUUGGUGGGGUAAUGGCCUACCAAGGCGGCGACGGGUAGCCGGCCUGAGAGGGUGGACGGCCACAUUGGGACUGAGACACGGCCCAGACUCCUACGGGAGGCAGCAGUGGGGAAUAUUGCACAAUGGGCGGAAGCCUGAUGCAGCGACGCCGCGUGGGGGAUGACGGCCUUCGGGUUGUAAACUCCUUUCACCAUCGACGAAGGGUUUCUGACGGUAGAUGGAGAAGAAGCACCGGCUAACUACGUGCCAGCAGCCGCGGUAAUACGUAGGGUGCGAGCGUUGUCCGGAAUUACUGGGCGUAAAGAGCUCGUAGGUGGUUUGUCGCGUCGUCUGUGAAAUUCCGGGGCUUAACUCCGGGCGUGCAGGCGAUACGGGCAUAACUUGAGUACUGUAGGGGAGACUGGAAUUCCUGGUGUAGCGGUGAAAUGCGCAGAUAUCAGGAGGAACACCGGUGGCGAAGGCGGGUCUCUGGGCAGUAACUGACACUGAGGAGCGAAAGCAUGGGGAGCGAACAGGAUUAGAUACCCUGGUAGUCCAUGCCGUAAACGGUGGGCGCUAGGUGUGGGUUUCCUUCCACGGGAUCCGUGCCGUAGCUAACGCAUUAAGCGCCCCGCCUGGGGAGUACGGCCGCAAGGCUAAAACUCAAAGGAAUUGACGGGGGCCCGCACAAGCGGCGGAGCAUGUGGAUUAAUUCGAUGCAACGCGAAGAACCUUACCUGGGCUUGACAUAUACAGGAUCGCGCCAGAGAUGGUGUUUCCCUUGUGGCUUGUAUACAGGUGGUGCAUGGUUGUCGUCAGCUCGUGUCGUGAGAUGUUGGGUUAAGUCCCGCAACGAGCGCAACCCUUGUCUUAUGUUGCCAGCACGUUGUGGUGGGGACUCGUAAGAAACUGCCGGGGUUAACUCGGAGGAAGGUGGGGAUGACGUCAAGUCAUCAUGCCCCUUAUGCCCAGGGCUUCACACAUGCUACAAUGGUCGGUACAGUGGGUUGCCAGUCCGUGAGGGCGAGCUAAUCCCGCAAAGCCGGUCUCAGUUCGGAUCGGGGUCUGCAACUCGACCCCGUGAAGUCGGAGUCGCUAGUAAUCGCAGAUCAGCAACGCUGCGGUGAAUACGUUCCCGGGCCU